rnacentral:rRNA from 1 species
UCCGGAAUUACUGGGCGUAAAGAGCUCGUAGGUGGUUUGUCGCGUUGUUCGUGAAAUCUCACGGCUUAACUGUGAGCGUGCGGGCGAUACGGGCAGACUAGAGUACUGCAGGGGAGACUGGAAUUCCUGGUGUAGCGGUGGAAUGCGCAGAUAUCAGGAGGAACACCGGUGGCGAAGGCGGGUCUCUGGGCAGUAACUGACGCUGAGGAGCGAAAGCGUGGGGAGCGAACAGGAUUAGAUACCCUGGUAGUCCACGCCGUAAACGGUGGGUACUAGGUGUGGUUUCCUUCCUUGGGAUCCGUGCCGUAGCUAACGCAUUAAGUA